AUUAUCAUACUUCAUAGGAUCACUUUCAUAGUAUGAUUGCCAAGUUCCCUGACCGAAACUUGGUGUAACCUCUUGCCACGCUGAGGCUGUGUCCAUCCCUGAGUGAGAAACUGCCACUUGGAUGAUCCAGGGGUUUUAGGACUGUCCACACCUAGUAAUGGGUAUGGUAGGUUGGGUACAGACUGAGUGAA